AUUGAACGCUGGCGGCAGGCCUAACACAUGCAAGUCGAGCGGAUGAAGGGAGCUUGCUCCUGGAUUCAGCGGCGGACGGGUGAGUAAUGCCUAGGAAUCUGCCUGGUAGUGGGGGAUAACGUCCGGAAACGGGCGCUAAUACCGCAUACGUCCUGAGGGAGAAAGUGGGGGAUCUUCGGACCUCACGCUAUCAGAUGAGCCUAGGUCGGAUUAGCUAGUUGGUGGGGUAAAGGCCUACCAAGGCGCCGAUCCGUAACUGGUCUGAGAGGAUGAUCAGUCACACUGGAACUGAGACACGGUACAGACUCCUACGGGAGGCAGCAGUGGGGAAUGUUGGACGAUGGGCGAAAGCCUGAUCCAGCCAUGCCGCGUGUGUGAAGAAGGUCUUCGGAUUGUAAAGCACUUUAAGUGGGGAGGAAGGGCAGUAAGUUAAUACCUUGCUGUUUUGACGUUACCAACAGAAUAAGCACCGGCUAACUUCGUG
rnacentral:rRNA from 1 species